GACGAACGCUUGCGGCGUGCUUAACACAUGCAAGUCGAACGGAAAGGCCCUGCUUUUGUGGGGUGCUCGAGUGGCGAAAGGGUGAGUAACACGUGAGUAACCUGCCCUUGACUUUGGGAUAACUUCAGGAAACUGGGGCUAAUACCGGAUAGGAGCUCCUGCUGCAUGGUGGGGGUUGGAAAGUUUCGGCGGUUGGGGAUGGACUCGCGGCUUAUCAGCUUGUUGGUGGGGUAGUGGCUUACCAAGGCUUUGACGGGUAGCCGGCCUGAGAGGGUGACCGGCCACAUUGGGACUGAGAUACGGCCCAGACUCCUACGGGAGGCAGCAGUGGGGAAUAUUGCACAAUGGGCGGAAGCCUGAUGCAGCAACGCCGCGUGCGGGAUGACGGCCUUCGGGUUGUAAACCGCUUUCGCCUGUGACGAAGCGUGAGUGACGGUAAUGGGUAAAGAAGCACCGGCUAACUACGUG
rnacentral:rRNA from 1 species